GACGAACGCUGGCGGCGUGCUUAACACAUGCAAGUCGAACGGAAAGGCCCUGCUUUUGUGGGGUGCUCGAGUGGCGAACGGGUGAGUAACACGUGAGUAACCUGCCCUUGACUUGGGGAUAACUUCAUGAAACUGUGGCUAAUACCGGAUAGGAGCUCCUGCUGCAUGGUGGGGGUUGGAUAGUUUCGGCGGUUGGGGAUGGACUCGCGGCUUAUCAGCUUGUUGGUGGGGUAGUGGCUUACCAAGGCUGUGACGGGUAGCCGGCCUGAGAGGGUGACCGGCCACAUUGGGACUGUGAUGCGGCCCAGACUCCUACGGGAGGCAGCAGUGGGGAACAUUGCACAAUGGGCGGAAGCCUGAUGCAGCAACGCCGCGUGCGGGAUGACGGCCUUCGGGUUGUAAACCGCUUUCGCCUGUGACGAAGCGUGAGUGACGGUAAUGGGUAAAGAAGCACCGGCUAACUACGUG
rnacentral:rRNA from 1 species